GGUGCUGUGAGCCGAGCGGCUUAAGGCGGUCCUAAUGCAGGACAUACGAAAGCGUAUCGUAGGUUCGAAUCCUACCAGCACCC
rfam:Stenotrophomonas phage IME13, complete genome.